GUACUUUGACUGUGCAAAGGUAGCAUAAUCACUUGUCUUUUAAUUGGAGGCUGGAAUGAAGGAGGCGACGAAAUUUAGACUAUUAGUGUAUAAUAUAAAAUUAACAUGGAGGUCAAAAGGCAGCCAUACAUCAAAGGGACGAUAAGACCCUAUAAAACUUUACUAUAAGGUAAGUCUACUAGGUAAAAUUUAAAGUUAUAGUUUAACUGGGGCGGUUUAUAUAAAAACAAUUGUAAAAUAAAUAUUUUAAAUAAAAUCAGAGAACUCUUGUAUGAAAUAAAUAAGUUACUUUAGGGAUAACAGCACAAUUCUCCCAGAGAGUCCUAAUUGGCGGGAGAGCUUGUGACCUCGAUGUUGAAUUGGGGUGUCUGGUAUAAGUAGAAAUAUUCUAAGAUAGUCUGUUCGACUAUUAAACCCCC
rnacentral:rRNA from 1 species